rnacentral:misc_RNA from 1 species
UCCCGGUUGCUCCGGGCAGUCUCGCCAGAAAAAUACAACUGACGACAGGGGUUGCGCUCGUUGCGGGACUUAACCCAACACCUCACGGCACGAGCUGACGACGGCCAUGCAGCAUCUGUGACGAGGCCCCGAAGGGAGACCGGCUUUCACCGGCUGUCCUCGCCAUGUCAAGCCCUGGUAAGGUUCUUCGCGUCGCUUCGAAUUAAACCACAUGCUCCGCUGCUUGUGCGGGCCCCCGUCAAUUCCUUUGAGUUUCACCGUUGCCGGCGUACUCCCCAGGUGGGAUGCUUAAUGCUUUCGCUUGGCCGCUGAACCAGUUGGCCCAACAGCGGGCAUCCAUCGUUUACCGCGCGGACUAC